rnacentral:rRNA from 1 species
AACGAACGCUGGCGGCAGGCUUAACACAUGCAAGUCGAGCGCCCCGCAAGGGGAGCGGCAGACGGGUGAGUAACGCGUGGGAAUCUACCCAUCUCUACGGAAUAACGCAUGGAAACGUGUGCUAAUACCGUAUACGUCCUUCGGGAGACAGACCUAUCGGAGAUGGAUGAGCCCGCGUUGGAUUAGCUAGUAGGUGGGGUAAAGGCCUACCAAGGCGACGAUCCAUAGCUGGUCUGAGAGGAUGAGCAGCCACACUGGGACUGAGACACGGCCCAGACUCCUACGGGAGGCAGCAGUGGGGAAUAUUGGACAAUGGGCGCAAGCCUGAUCCAGCCAUGCCGCGUGAGUGAUGAAGGCCCUAGGGUUGUAAAGCUCUUUCACCGGUGAAGAUAAUGACGGUAACCGGAGAAGAAGCCCCGGCUAACUUCGUGCCAGCCGCCGCAGUAACAC